rnacentral:rRNA from 1 species
AAUAGAUACCCGGGUAGUCCACGCCGUAAACGAUGAGUGCUAAGUGUUAGAGGGUUUCCGCCCUUUAGUGCUGCAGCUAACGCAUUAAGCACUCCGCCUGGGGAGUACGGUCGCAAGACUGAAACUCAAAGGAAUUGACGGGGGCCCGCACAAGCGGUGGAGCAUGUGGUUUAAUUCGAAGCAACGCGAAGAACCUUACCAGGUCUUGACAUCCUCUGACAACUCUAGAGAUAGAGCGUUCCCCUUCGGGGGACAGAGUGACAGGUGGUGCAUGGUUGUCGUCAGCUCGUGUCGUGAGAUGUUGGGUUAAGUCCCGCAACGAGCGCAACCCUUGAUCUUAGUUGCCAGCAUUUAGUUGGGCACUCUAAGGUGACUGCCGGUGACAAACCGGAGGAAGGUGGGGAUGACGUCAAAUCAUCAUGCCCCUUAUGACCUGGGCUACACACGUGCUACAAUGGAUGGUACAAAGGGCUGCAAGACCGCGAGGUCAAGCCAAUCCCAUAAACCAUUCUCAGUUCGGAUUGUAGGC